AUAUCCAUGACAACCAAACACCACUGGGUGAGAACAGAUCUCACAAUCUGGGUGUCUCCAUGCUGUAGGAACUUGAAGGGAAAAUGACUAAGGAAACUUGAUCAAGGAAGACUUCAUGGAAGAGAGACACAGUACACCACCACAGAGGAAAUAGAUGUAGAAAGCAAGUACCCUGCUGCAAGGUGCGAUCCAGUAGCCAAUGGCCAGGAAUGGAAGGCCCAGGGCCACGACCAGUACAACGAGACACUUGAUAGCUAUGGUCUGCUCCCUUAGGCCUGAGAGGUUCUCAUACCAGAUCGUCAAGAGCUGCUGCUGGCAGUUGGGAUGAGCCACAAACUAUUGGGAGAGAGAGAGUUUGAGAAGGGGAGAGAAAGGGCCCUGGAUGUUUUCCUUACAAAUUUGUUUGAGUUCUUGGGAUAUUAAGAAGAUCAAUCUUUUGUGAGUUACAAUCGAAAAAACAUUUUUCCUAGUAUGCCCUUCACUUUUUUGUUUAUAAUCUUUCUGAUGUCAUACAGAGGUUUUAAAUUAUAUGUGGCCAGAUUAUUUGCAUUUUUGCUUGGAGAUUUCUUCGCUUUUAUAUGAGAAAGUCCUUUCCAACAUAAACAUUAAAUUCAUGGUCAUGUAUCUCCUA